AUACGGAGGGGGCUAGCGUUGUUCGGAAUUACUGGGCGUAAAGCGCGCGUAGGCGGGUUGGCAAGUUGAAGGUGAAAUCCCAGGGCUCAACCCUGGAACUGCCUCCAAAACUGCCAGUCUUGAGUUCGGAAGAGGUGAGUGGAAUUCCUAGUGUAGAGGUGAAAUUCGUAGAUAUUAGGAAGAACACCAGUGGCGAAGGCGACUCACUGGUCCGGUACUGACGCUGAGGCGCGAAAGCGUGGGGAGCAAACAGGAUUAGAAACCCCAGUAGUCC
rnacentral:rRNA from 1 species